rnacentral:lncRNA from 1 species
AAACAUUCUCUUCUCCUUGAAGAGCCAAUGAGAGAGGUGGACAGCAGGUAGGGAUGGACCCCAAAGCCAACUGCGCCCCACCAGCCCUCUUUCGAUGCCCGCCAGCCUCUGCUCUGGAAGUCUUGGCUCCUAAGGUGACACCUGGUUGUAGAAAGACUGAGUCCCUGGGAGUAAAAUCUGGGUGUUAGGCCUGCAGAUGCCGUAGCAACGUCGCGAGUCCACACUACAAAGACGCAGAGGACACUGGACCAUCAGACCACUAUACUGGGUAAGAGCAAUAACAUGGGUGGAAGGAGCCUUUUAGGAACUUCUGGAGGAAGCUGGUAUGAUUGUUUUGAGCAGGAAAAACUUCUAAAUUCUUCAAACAACAAAAUUAACUUCAAACCUCACAACAUAUUAGGCAAUCAUUCAUCACUUUGUGCUUAUGAAGCAGUCACAUGUAGGAUAAAAAACUUGGGAAAUACAACAAAAAUGUCAAGGAGAUGAUGGAAGUGCCCCGAAAUCCACCACUCGGAGACGACCACCCCACACACCACACCGUUUAGAAGCCCUGACCCUCUCCAGAAGGCUGGAACCUAACUGGUGUUCUUACUUAACAUUGCCCCAUGCACAUUUUCCGAUGUUUCUAAAAGUCUUAGGAAAUAGUUUAUACUGGUGGUGUAAGAUUUCAUCACUUGAUUUUCCAUUAUUUGUUUGAAGACAAAUGUUUGAUGACGGGUGUGGUGGUUAUUUCCCGAUUUCAUUGUUAUAAAUGAGGUGAACAUCUCCUCACAUACAUCAUUGUCUCAUUUUUUAUCAUUUCCUCGAAGUGGGUGAGUCAGCGAGGUGAUUCCAGGCAAAGGUGCUGGGCGUUUGACCGUUUUAGUAGUUGGCUCCUGAGGCAGCCUGCCGGUGUACAGCCCGUCCUACUCCUCGUCUGCGGCAGCACUUAUGGCUCCCCUGCUGACCCGCCCUGGGAAUUAACAUUUUAAAAACUACCUCUCAUGACUUGGAUCCAAAUUUCCUUGACCACGAAUAACAUCACUAUUUCAAAUUUACUCAUAGUUUACUCAUACUGCAUUUGUGCUAUUAUUAUUUUUGAAUUAACUCAUUAAUCUUAGUAAUAAAGUAGACAGUAGGUUUUUCUAAAUAACUAAC